rnacentral:tRNA from 1 species
GAGGGUUUAGCUCAGCGGCAUAAGCGCCUGCCUUGCAAGCAGGCAGUCCUGAGUUCGAUCCCCAGUACCGAUA